AGGAGGUUUGAGAAAGUUAAGCAGCUGUUUUGUACUGCAUUAACUGGUUAUAACCUCCUAGAAAAACCACAAGUGAACUGAAGUACCCUGUAUUUUUAUUUUCAGAGUCAUUGCAAUACUUGUGUACAUUUU